UUCUAAAAAUGGCAAAAAAUUAACUUAAUUAAAGUCACUAAUUAAGUUAUUAAGAAAACCCUAAUUUAACCUACUUAAAUCUAUUUUUCCAUCAUUUGCACCUAACCUAGCCGCCACUCUCUAAGAUCUUCUUCUUUCUUCUUCUCCGGCGAAGACACCGCCGCCGGCCGUCGGCUCCCGCCCCGGCCCCGACCUCUCUCGCCUCUGCUCUCCCUCUCUCUCCUCUGCGCCCCCGACCUCUCUCGCCUCUGCUCUCCCGCUCUCUCUCCGUCGGACGCUUCUCUCCUCUCUCUCGUCUGACCGCCGGCUUCCCCAUCUGAAUCUGUCGUCGUC
rnacentral:lncRNA from 1 species